GACGAACCGUGCGAACGUUGUUCGGAAUCACUGGGCUUAAAGGGCGCGUAGGCGGGCAGCCAAGUCCGGGGUGAAAUCCUUCGGCUUAACUGGGAGGGUGCGCCGGAAACUGGAGUGCUUGAGCGUGGGAGAGGAAAGCGGAAUUCCUGGUGUAGCGGUGAAAUGCGUAGAUAUCAGGAGGAACACCUGUGGUGUAGACGGCUUUCUGGACCAUAGCUGACGCUGAGACACGAAAGCGUGGGUAGCAAACAGG
rnacentral:rRNA from 1 species